UGGAUCACACUUUGAAUAACAGGGCUGAAGUCUAUCCUGUCCAAUAAUGAAGACACUGGCCACAUGCAGCCACUGGGUUGUUGAAAUGUCACAUCCAAUCUGAGAUGUGCUUGUCUGUUCCUGGGACCAAGAGAUGCUGUGUUUGAUCAAAUCGGAUGUCCCUUCUUCAGGGUAUUGCUUCUCAGAGCAGCCAAGGGUCGAGCUUAGAUGCCCUCUCUCACCAACAUGGAGUCCGGUAACAGAGCCAGGUUGCAUCAUAUUCCAUCCCGAGCACAUUCUGCAGCUCCACCCCGGACCUGUGUUUGGCUUUGGGGAGCUGUUAGGGCCUUGCUCUUGUAAAGAUUGCUGCUCUGAACAACCAAGGAACUCUUGUCUUCCAGGAACUUGGAUUUCUUUCACACACAGAUGCAGAAGAGCGUCUCUUACUUGGCUCUUCCUGGAGAGCAAACUGAAUGGAACAAGCCUACACCUUUCUAGUUGAUUUGAGGUUGACAUUAAGAUGGAAAGAGCAAGUGUUCUGCUGCAGAAAGAACUUGCCAUGGCCCUGCUCCGCCUUGUGCCAGCAGUGACUCUAAGUGAGUCAUUGUCGUCUUGGA